rnacentral:siRNA from 1 species
AAGGAUCCCAAAACACAAAAAUGC